UGGCAAUAUCACGUUGAAACAUCAGUACUCGUCUCCUCACCGAAUUUAAGCAACUUCGAACCCAGUUAGUACUUAGAUGGGUGAUCACUUGGGAAUACUAGUUGCUGUAA